UCUCCGUUGGUGAACCAGCGGAGGGAUCAUUACCGAGUUGUACUACUCCCAAACCCCUGGGAACUAAUACCUUUUCUCUUGCUUCGGGGGGUUAACGCCCCUGAAGGACUAAAAAGCCGCCGGAACCAGGCGGCCGUCGGGGGAACUAAGCUCUUGGAUUUCUUACUUUGCAUGUAUGAGUGGAAACAUAAACAAAUAAAGCAAAACUUUCAACAACGGAUCUCUUGGUUCUG
rnacentral:misc_RNA from 1 species